AACCGUGCCCCACUAGUCUGGGAGUACCACUUGGAAACAAGGUGCUAAUACAGGAUAAGAAAGCAGAUCGCAUGAUCAGCUUUUAAAGGCGGCGUAAGCUGUCGCUAUGGGAUGGCCCCGCGGUGCAUUAGCUAGUUGGUAAGGUAAAGGCUUACCAAGGCGAUGAUGCAUAGCCGAGUUGAGAGACUGAUCGGCCACAUUGGGACUGAGACACGGCCCAAACUCCUACGGGAGGCAGCAGCC
rnacentral:rRNA from 1 species